rnacentral:tRNA from 1 species
AAAAAGAUAAGCUAAAUAAGCUAGUGGGUUCAUACCCCGCCAAUAUAAGUUUCAUUCUUGUUCUUUUUA